GACGAACGCUGGCGGCGUGCUUAACACAUGCAAGUCGAACGGGUCUGCCCUGUUUUUUGCGGGGUGGGUCAGUGGCGAACGGGUGAGUAACACGUGAGUAACCUGCCCCUCACUUCUGGAUAACCGCUUGAAAGGGUGGCUAAUACGGGGUGUUCUGGCUGUGCCGCAUGGUGUGGCUGGGAAAGAUUCACUUUUGUGGUGUUUUGGUGGGGGAUGGGCUCGCGGCCUAUCAGCUUGUUGGUGGGGUGAUGGCCUGCCAAGGCUUUGACGGGUAGCCGGCCUGGGGGGGUGGGCGGUCACACGGGGACUGAGAUACGGCCCAGACUCCUGCGGGAGGCAGCAGUGGGGGGUAUUGCACAAUGGGCGGAAGCCUGAUGCAGCGACGUCGCGUGAGGGAUGGAGGCCUUCGGGUUGUGAACCUCUUUCGCCGGUGAAGAAGGUCCUGCUCUUUGUGGUGGGGUUGACGGUAGCCGGGUUAUGAAGCGCCGGCUAACUACGUG
rnacentral:rRNA from 1 species